rnacentral:tRNA from 1 species
GGCCUAUUAGCUCAGCUGGUUAGAGCGUCUUGCUAAUAACGCGAAGGUCGCAGGGUCGCAGGUUCGAGACCUGCAUGGGCCA